rfam:Zea mays cultivar B73 chromosome 10, whole genome shotgun sequence.
AUACAUUUCUGGAUCUUUUGGCUAAGAUAAAUGGUAAUAUUUAUUCUUAUAAGUUUAAUAUAUGGUAUAUGGACUAUCUGUUUAUUUCAAUAUUAUAUUUAUUUUAUAGCUAAUUUUUGGAAAGGGUCCACCAAACUGGCUUACUAGACCCUCGUGUGUCGCUGAGUGGUUGCACUACUGAUAGGUUCUGGCUUAACCCCA